CCCCCCCCCCCCCCAACAAAAUGUUCACCCCUCCAAAAAAAAAUUCGACCUCCCCCAAUUUUAAGCAUUUGAACAGUGCAACACUCUGAAACUAAUCACUCCUUGUUUCCAUUCACAGAAUCACACUGGUUUAUUGCAGCAAUAUAAAGCUUUAAAACUCACUAUUACCUCAGCUUAGAUCAUCCUUCGCAUAGCCCUUUGCUUUUAAAGUUCAUAAUAAGUAUUGCUUUACUAAGUUUAACACAAAAUAUAAGUUAUAUAUUAUAACGUAAAGGAACGAGAAAAUUAAAGGAUCUUUGUGUCGUUCAGUUAUUAAAGAACCUUUUAUACAAUAAAUUGAUCG